AUACAAGAAAGGUGGCUACAAGAUAACCUUACUUUAAGAAAAAGAAAUGAGGAACUAAAAGAAGUUGAAGAAGAAAGAAAACAACAUUUGAAGGAAAUGGGUCAAAUGCAGGUUUUGCAAAUGAAAAGUGAACAUCAGAAGUUGGAAGAGAACAUAGACAAUAUAAAAAGAAAUCAUAAUUUGGCAUUAGGGCGACAGAAAGGUUAUGAAGAAGAAAUUAUUCAUUUUAAGAAAGAACUUCGAGAACCACAAUUUCGGGAUGCUGAGGAAAAGUAUAGAGAAAUGAUGAUUGUUAUGAGGACAACAGAACUUGUGAACAAGGAUCUGGAUAUUUAUUAUAAGACUCUUGACCAGU
rnacentral:lncRNA from 1 species